AAGUCGUAACAAGGUUUCCGUAGGUGAACCUGCGGAAGGAUCAUUAGUGAUUUAACCAAAACUGGGAUGUGUUUUUUUGAGUAUUAUUCAUUCAAUUGAGUGUAUUUAUAAAACAUAAACCAAACUACCAUUUGUGAACAUGAAACAAUACUUUUGCUUUUAUUAGCAAAAGGAAAAAAAAAAACUAAGAGUUUAAAUCUUAUUUCAUAAUACAUUAUCUAAGCUUAUUUCAUAGACUUAUAAUCUAUUAAAACAACUAUUAACAAUGGAUCCCUUGGCUCUUA
rnacentral:misc_RNA from 1 species